AAAAAAAAAACCCAAAAAACUCUCUCAACCUAAAAAAGCCCAGGGCCAGGUAGUUUUAGUAGGGAAUUCUACCAGACUUUCAAAGAAAAAUUAACACCGAUAUUCCUUACAUUAUUCCACAAAAUGGAAACAGAAGAAACAUUGCAAAAACUCAUUUUAUGAGGCCACAGUUACUCUGAUACCCAAACCACAGAAAGACUAAACAAAAAAGAGAAUUGUAGACCAACUUCCAUCAUGAACAUAGAUGUAAAAAUACUCAAUAAAAUACUUGCAAACCAAAUACAAGAACACAUCAAAAAGAUUAUUCAUCAUGAUCAAGUAUACUUCAUUACAGAGAUGCAGAGAUGCUUCAACAUAUGAAAAUCAGUCAAUGUAAUCCACCACAUAAAUAAACUGAAAGAAAAAAAAAACUACAUGAUUAUCUCAUUAGAUGCUGAAAAGGCCUUUGACAUAAUCCAGCACCCCUUCAUGAUAAUAGUACUGGAGAGAUAAGGACUACAAAGGAUAUACCCAAACACAAUCAAGGCAAUUAACAAAAAGUCUGUAGCCAACAUCAGAUUAAAUGGAGAGAAAUUCAAAGCAUUUCCACUAAAAUCAGGAACAAGACAAGGUUGUCCACUCUCUCCGUAUCUAUUCAAUAUAGUAUUUAAAGUUCUAGCUAGAACAGUAAGACAAUUGAAGGAGAUCAAAGGGAUAAAAAUUGGAUAGGAAGAAGUAAAAGUAUCUUUAUUUACAGAUGAUAUGAUAGUAUACAUUAGUGAUCCUAAAAAUUCCACCCAGAACUUCUACAGCUGGUAAACACUUUCAACAAGUAACAGGAUACAAAAUUGACUAAUAAAAACUAAUAAUUUUCAUAUAUACAAAUGACAAAUAGACUGAGAAACAAACUAGGGAAACAACAUCAUUCACAAUAACCUCAAAUAAUAUAAAGUAUCUUGGGGUAACUCUAACCAAGCAAGUGAAAGACUUGUAUAAUAAAACUGCAAAUCUUUAGAGAAAGAAAUUGAAGAAGAUGAUAUCAGAAGAUGGCCAUCUUACCAAAAGCUAUCUACAGAUUCAACACAAUCACCAUCAAAAUUAUUCCAACAAAAUUCUUUACAGACCUUGAAAGGAUAAUUCUCAACUUCAAAUGGAAAAACAAAAACAGCUAAAACAAUCCUGUACAAUAAAAGAGCUUUUGGAGGUAUCACCAUUCCUGAUUUUAAGCUAUACCACAGAGCAAUAGUAAUAAAAACUGCAUGGUAUUGGCAUUAAAAGUAGACAGGUUGAUUAAUGUAAUCAAAUCAAAGACCCAGAAAUAAAUCCACACACCUAUGGACACUUGAUUUUUGACAAAGAAGUCAAAAUUAUAUAAUGGAAAAAAGAAAGCAUCUUCAACAAAUGAUGCUGGUCUAACUGGAUGUCUGCUUGUAGAAGAAUGAAAAUAGAUCCAUAUCUAUUACCCUGCACAAAACUCAAGUCCAAGUGGAUCAAGACCUCAACAUAAAACCAGAUACACUGAACCUGAUAGAAGAGAAAAUGGGGAAUAGCCUCGAAUGCAUUGGCACAGGAGACAACUUUCUGAACAGAACAUUGAUAGCACAGGCACUAAGAUCAACAAUUAAUAAAUGGGACCUCAUGAAACCUAAAGGCUUCUGUAAGGCAAAGGACACCAUCAGACAAAAUGGUUGUCUACAGAAUGGGGAAAGAUUUUUACCAACUUUCCACAUCUGACAGAGGGCUAAUAUCCAAAAUAUAUAAAUAACUCAAUAAACUAGAUAUCAAAAAACACUAAACAAUCUAAUUUAAAUAUGGGGUAUAGAUAUAAACAGAGAAUUCUCACUAGAGGAUUCUCAAAUGGCUGAGAAACACUUAAAGAAAUGUUCAACAUCCUUAGCAAAUCAAAUCAGGGAAAUGCAAAUCAAAACAACUUUGAGAUUCCAUCUUAUACCUGUCAGAAUGGCAGCUCAUGCUGAAGAGGAUGUGGAGCAAGGGGAACACUCCUUCACUGCUGGUGGGAGUGCAAACUUGUAUAUCCACUAGGGAAAUCAAUAUGGCAAUUCCUCAGAGAAUUUGGAAUCUAUCUACCUCAAGACUCAGCUAUACCACUCUUGGGGAUAUACCCAAAGGACAUUCCAUCCAACACAAGGACACCUGCUCAACCAUGUUCAUUGUGGCUUCAUUCACAAUAGCCAGAAACUGGAAACAACUUAGAUGUCCCUCAACAGAAGAAUAAACAGUAUGUGGUACAUUUAUACAAUGGAGCUGUUAGAAAAAUGACAUCAUGAAAUUUGUAGGCAAAUGGAUGGAACUAGAAAAAAUCAUUCUGAGUGAGUUAACCCAGACCUAGAAAGACAAAUAUGAUCAGUGCCUUAUCAUCAGAGAAGCUUCCUUUGGCAGCAGAUGGGAACAGAUGCAGAGGCCCACAGCCAGACAUUAUUUUGGGGGAAGAGUUUAAUUUGGAGGUCUCCCUCAAAUUCCUUCCCCUCAGAGCUCAGGGAAUCCCACAGAAGAGGAGGCAGAAAGACUGUAAGAGCCAGAGGGGAAGGAGAACACCAAGAGAACAAGGACCUCUGAAUGAACUAAGCAAGUAAACCAAUGAUUUGGACUUUGAGAAAAAUGUCAGCAAAAUAGGAAGAAAGAAGAUGCACAAGAAGGUGCUAUGGGACACGGCACGGAACACACAGAUUAUGAUUUCCUUUGUGUGGAGAAAAGAUAACAGCACCUCAAUUUUCUUAUGUAUCAUCCCAUGUUUUCUCUUCUCUAAUGCAAAUUCUGAUCAUUCCUGAUGAAUAAUGGAUUUGGAGUUUUAAACAACUAGUUGCUCAGAAUGGAAGACUCUUCAAUACUGCUUAAAAAAACAAGAACAUUGGCCUGGUAUUCUAGUUUAUAGCCGGAGGCACUGAACAGCUAGGCCAGAGGCACAGCUGCUGGAAUGAGGAUAAUUUGAAAUCACAGAAGAGGAGAAGACAUGCCUGGAGCUCACAACUCUUCAUAGGCAGAGGCCAGCUUGAGCUCUGGCUUCAGACAUGGAGACUAGCGCAGAUAGCGCCCUUUCCCUCCCUGUCCGACUGCUGAGCUGGCUUUCCUAACCACUCCAGAUUCAUCUGCAUUGUUCUUGUGCCCAUUAAAGAGCAUCUUCAGAGUG